GGGCCCGUAGCUCAGUGGUAGAGCGCUCGCUUUGCAUCAUUGCGAGAGGCCUAGGGUUCAAAUCCCUACUGGUCCA